GUUGGCAAUAUAACCAACAGUAAUGUCAUCCUUACGUCAAUCAAAAUAGCAACAUUUCGUAGUAUGAAAACUUGUUUGUCGUAUAGUAUACAUACUGGUAUUUCUGAGAUUUCCACCAGCAGUCUAUUCAUACAUCGAUUGGGGAAGAGAAAAGAGGAAACCUAAGAAGACAUGUUUUAUUUUCUGAUUGUCGUAAUCCUUGUAUGGGUCUUUGUAUUGUGUAUAGUAUAUGAUUACAGGAAUAAUAUGACACGGAUAAAUGGAAGGAUAUGUAGGAAACCACCUCGUCCGUGCAGUAUUUGCGAAAAAUAUUUUGAAGAGUACAUCAAAGAUACGGGUUUGGAAAAACUUAAAAAGCGUCGUUAUUAGUAACUGAAAAAUGUAUCCGCAUUUCUGUUAUGUUAUGCUACCCCAUCUUUGAUUCACUGAAUGUAAUCAAAACGUCUUACCGAUACAUUUGAUUCCUGUUUUCGUGGUAGGUUAGAUGAUAUUCAAUAAAAUGUGAUUUUGAGUUUCAAAGA